rnacentral:tRNA from 19 species
GGGGCUAUAGCUCAGUUGGUAGAGCGCUUGCAUGGCAUGCAAGAGGUCAGGAGUUCAAUUCUCCUUAGCUCCACAA